UCUAUUUUACCUUCAAUAUUUUUUCUUCAAUUUGAAAAGAAAAUUAGAAAUUUAAGAGGAUAAUUGACCUUGAUUUUGUGCAAUUACAUAUAUGUCCAUCUCUUUUUUAUUGCCAUUUCCCGUUUUCCUUUUCUAGGGUUCAUGGUGGCCAUUUACAAAAAUUCCUUUUCUCAGAAAAAUAUCGACUCCCUCUCAUCUACCUCUUGCCUCUCAUCAGCUCUUUUCACUUUUCUCUCGUCGUGCCUCAGGUUUAUUCCGUCCUUCAGAGCUUAGGUGGUGAUGCCAACGUUUCACUCUCCCUUGCAAGCUCCCAGACCCCCCAUCUCUUCAUUCUCCCGUCGCUGCUUCCUUCUCUCUAGUCUUCCUGUCUUUGAUUUCGGCUCUUUAUUCUGGGUUGGUGAAAAUUCAAAGCUGGUGAUUGGAGACCUUGAGCUCUUGUACGGUUACAGUUUGCAAGUUGCCUCCUUUGAAGUGUGAUUGAAGCUUUUAGGAAAAGAUCGGCUAACAAUCUACCAAGAAUGGUACUGAUUUGGUUACCCUUUCCUUCCCAGCCCAUCCGGCACUAAUUCAAGUAAUUGUUCCUUCAGCAUUUGCUUCAAAUCUUCCUCGUUUUCCUCUGAAGGAUCUUUGGCAGUGGAGAACUUUGGUUUGAAUAGGGUAUUUAAACACCCUUGGGCUAUUUGAUUUUGUUUUCCUUUGUUCCCCGUUGAUAGCCAGUGCUGAGUUGCUGAAGAAGAGGAGGUGGCGUCAGUUGCUAAGGAAGAUGAGGUCCAAGUCAUACCUAGGGCCCUAUUCGUUAGGGUUUAGGUCUGGGUUGAAGAGUUUGUCGUAUAUCUGUGUGAGUUUUGGCCUUAUUAUAGUAUUUCAUUCAAUGAAA